rnacentral:misc_RNA from 1 species
AUUGUUCUGAUAAGUUUUACACUAAUGAGUGUAUUUGGCCGAACGUAUGUGAGUUGUGAAAAUGGUAAAGUUCUUGUCUUCAUUGGUAUAGGUUCUGUUGGUUGUUGCCAUAUUCAAGUCGACGGAAAAAGCGCCACUUGAUUCCCCCCAAUUUAGUGAAAAAUAACCCUUCAUUUUAGCCUGUUCUAGCUAAGUUAAUAUAUAUAAAUAAGCGCUUUAGUGACGUUCUUGUGUGUGCAUGCUUCUGGUUAUAUG